AGGAAUUCACCCAAACCGAUAAAAUUGGAACGAUAUAGAGAAGAUUAACAUGGCUCCUGCGCAAGAAUGAUGCACAUAAAUCAAGAAAUAGAUUUGAACCCU